AUUGAACGCUGGCGGCAGGCCUAACACAUGCAAGUCGAACGAGUGGCGGAAGGGUGCGUACUGUCUGGGAAACUGCCUGAUGGAUGGGGAUAACUACUGGGAACGGUAGCUGAUACCGCAUACAAUCGGAUGUGCCCAGAUGGGAUUAGCUAGUAGGUGGGGUAAAGGCGCACCUAGGCGACGAUCCCUAGCUGGUCUGAGCGGAUGACCAGCCACCAUGGAACUGAGACACGGUCCAGACUCCUAAGGGAGGCAGCAGUGGGGAAGAUUGCACGAUGGGCGCAAGCCUGAUGCAGCCAUGCCGAGUGUAUGAAGAAGGACUUCGGGUUGUAAAGUACUUUCAGCGGGGAGGCGUUACCCGCAGAAGAAGCACCUGCUAACUCCGUGCCAGCAGCCGCGGUAAUUC
rnacentral:rRNA from 1 species